rnacentral:rRNA from 1 species
AGAGUUUGAUCCUGGCUCAGGACGAACGCUGGCGGCGCGCCUAAUGCAUGCAAGUCRAACGAGAACUASUUCAAUCGUAAGAUUGAAUUAGGGACAGUGGCGAACGGGUGCGUAACACGUGAGAAACCUGCCCUGGUGUUCGGGRUAGCCMNGAGGAAACUCGGAUUAAUACCGGAUACUGCUCACAAGAGAACCACAUGGUCUGGUGAGGAAAGACGCUCCGCUCGCUCCAGGAUGGUCUCGCGGCCUAUCAGCUUGUNGGUGAGGNNANGGCUCACCAAGGCUCCGANGGGCCNCUGGUCGGANAGNACGAUCAGNNNNNNNNNNNNUNAGACACGGCCCAGACUCNUACSGRAGGCAGCAGCAGGRAAUAUUGCACAAUGGSCGAAAGCNUGAUGCAGCGACSCCGCGUGCGGGAUGAAGGCCUUCGGGUUGUAAMCCGCUUUCAGGAGGGACGAAAAUGACGGUACCUCCAGAAGAAGGCCCGGCCAACUACGUGCCAGCAGCCGCGGUAAUACGUAGGGGCCAAGCGUUGUCCGGAUUUAUUGGGCGUAAAGGGCUCGUAGGCGGUUUGACAAGUCGGACGUGAAAACCCGGGGCUCAACCCCGGGACGCCGUUCGAAACUGUCAUGACUAGGGUCCGGUAGAGGUGAGUGGAAUUCUCGGCGUAGCGGUGAAAUGCGCAGAUAUCGAGAGGAACACCAGUAGCGAAGGCGGCUCACUGGGCCGGUACCGACGCUGAGGAGCGAAAGCGUGGGGAGCAAACAGGAUUAGAUACCCUGGUAGUCCACGCCGUAAACGUUGAACACUAGGUGUGGCGAGUUAAUCCAUACUUGCCGUGCCGCAGCUAACGCAUUAAGUGUUCCGCCUGGGGAGUACGGCCGCAAGGCUAAAACUCAAAGGAAUUGACGG